rnacentral:rRNA from 1 species
AGAAUCAACGCUGGCGGCGUGCCUAACACAUGCAAGUCGAACGAGAAAGUGGAGCAAUCCAUGAGUAAAGUGGCGCACGGGUGAGUAACACGUGACUAACCUACCUUUUAGUGGGGGAUAACCUAGGGAAACCUGGGCUAAUACCGCAUAAUACCUACGGGUCAAAGCAGCAAUGCGCUGGAAGAGGGGGUCGCGGCCGAUUAGCUAGUUGGCGGGUAAUGGCCCACAAGGCAGUGAUCGGUAUCCGGCCUGAGAGGGCGCACGGACACACUGGAACUGAAACACGGUCCAGACUCCUACGGGAGGCAGCAGUGGGGAAUUUUGCGCAAAUGGGGGAAACCCUGACGCAGCAACGCCGCGUGGAGGAUGAAGACCCUUGGGUCGUAAAACUCCUUUCGAUCGGGACGAUAAUGACGGUACCGGAAGAAGAAAGCCCCGGCUAAACUUCGCGCCAGCAGCCGC